AGUGAGAUAGCUGGGUCAAAUGGCGGAUCCAGAUUUCUGAGGAAUCUUCAUACUGCUUUCCAUAGUGGUUGCACCAAUUUGCAGUCCCACCAGAAAU
rnacentral:pre_miRNA from 1 species